rnacentral:rRNA from 1 species
GAUGAACGCUAGCGGCAGGCUUAACACAUGCAAGUCGAGGGGCAGCAUAUUUUGUAGUAAUACAAGAUGAUGGCGACCGGCGCACGGGUGCGUAACGCGUAUGCAACCUACCAUAUACAGGGGGAUAAACUUUCGAAAGGGAGCCUAAUACCCCCAUAGUAUUAUUUUAAGGCAUCUUGCAAUAAUUAAAGAUUAAUUGGUAUAUGAUGGGCAUGCGUGUCAUUAGCCAGUUGGUAAGGUAACGGCUUACCAAGGCGACGAUGACUAGGGGUUCUGAGAGGAAGAUCCCCCCCACUGGUACUGAGACACGGACCAGACUCCUACGGGAGGCAGCAGUGAGGAAUAUUGGUCAAUGGGCGAGAGCCUGAACCAGCCAUGCCGCGUGCAGGAAGACGGCCCUAUGGGUUGUAAACUGCUUUUAUGUGAGGAUAAACCUAUUCUUGCGAGAGUAGCUGAAGGUAUCACAUGAAUAAGGAUCGGCUAACUCCGUGCCAGCCGCCGCUGUAA